GUCCACGCUGUAAACGAUGUCGAUUUGAAGGUUGUUCCCUUGAGGAGUGGCUUUCGGAGCUAACGCGUUAAAUCGACCGCCUGGGGAGUACGGCCGCAAGGUUAAAACUCAAAUGAAUUGACGGGGCCCGCACAAGCGGUGGAGCAUGUGGUUUAAUUCGAUGCAACGCGAAGAACCUUACCUACUCUUGACAUCCAGAGAACUUAGCAGAGAUGCUUUGGUGCCUUCGGGAACUCUGAGACAGGUGCUGCAUGGCUGUCGU
rnacentral:rRNA from 1 species